rnacentral:tRNA from 1 species
ACUUAAAUAGCUUAUAUAAGAGCGUGAUAUUGAAGAUAUCAAAGAAGUUUGUUUACUUUUAAGUA